GACUGACGAGGGGCCUCACAAAUACAGGAAGCUACUCAAGAACGGAGCUGGAGAUGGGGGACGGUGCUCAGCGAAACUGUGCAGUAACCGUCAGCGUUCAAGGGUGACGGUGGCUCGCACGCUCCGACAACACAAGUGCAAGCGCUCAAUGUACCCACCUUCAAGCCAGAAAACCUUGCUUGUUGCUGUUGCCUACUGCUUCGCUUUUCUGGCGCUCCUCACCGGCGUCGCCCUCUAACUUCACCACAGCAGCUGAACACAGCCCGUGAGGAGGCAUCGAGCUGCGUGAGCACGGAGCCGCUGCAGUGCCGGGCCGGACGGUGCAAGAGGAGCGAGUAGAGUCUAUCGAGGCAAUACCCGUUCCACUGCCCUCACCCGAAGCCCGCCAAGACCCAUCAUCAGCUUGUCGUGAGGAAAAAGACAUAUCGGCACUUUCGAACUCCGGCGCCUUCGCUGAGGCAGCGGAUGCGCGCACGAUGCCCAGCACGCGCUUCAGCAAGGCUGGCGGCGCGCCGCUAGAAUGGUACGUCAUGCUCUUCCGUGGCGCGACACUUUCAAGGUGCGCGCAUUCACCCGCCGGCUCUGGUCAGAACGAAGCCUGUGGCAACGGUGUGUGGGAGUAGCAAGCGACUCGAGACAACCAGAAAGACCCAAACACAGACCACAUCUACGGUGAAUAUCUCGUGGCAGUGUGCAUUUCACUUUACGUACUGAGCACCCGCCAAACACGGCAGCAUUGCGACCUCCCACCCAAGCGGUGAGGAAAGCAGCUCAACCGUGGGUGCAUUUGUCGGAAUGCCAGCCGCACGGCUGGAAAGAUCCCAACCGUAAGACGGGCAUUGAUUACAUUACCUACGGGUGCGCUCCUCACCUGGCCCCCUGAACGCACUACCCGCAAUGAUGACGGAGCGGUGUUAUUGUUGUUUUUCAUCUCUUGGCCGUUUUCGCAUUCUCGGUGCACACCCUUGCGAAGCGUUCGGCGGUUUUUUUUUGAGGUUUUCCGAGGCUUGUUCGCCUGAUGGCGGCGAACCUCACCACCAACGUGCGUGGUAUUUCAGGGUCCAGUACUUCCACUCUGUGUGUGUGUAUCUGUGAGGAGGCCAGGCAGCACCCUAUCUUUCUCUAUAUUCCUGCCAAAAUGCCGAACCACCUCUGGUGUUGGCAGGGUCAAGCACCUACAACGUGGAUGUGGACAGAGCAAUGUAUCGAUACUAAUAUCGGCGAUCAGGUUCUGGAUAACAUGGCGUCGGAGCGGCCUGCGACAAUGAAUACGCUUUUACCAUGGAUGUGAUGGGUGAACUGCCAGCGUGACUCGAAUGCACACCACCUGGCCCUCACACUGCUUCCUGGGGGUGAGGCUGAUCUACCCGGCGAGGGAUGCACGAGGCGUGGUGACUGGCAGAAUGGGGGAGCGGCUGUGAGGCGACCUGCGGCGAGGGGGCGGGCAGAGCUUCAGGCAGAGGCCAUGCUCCGAUGACUGAGUCAGAGGAUUGCUGCAACGUGUGUCUAGCGCUGCUUUGCACCCCGCGAGUUGGGGGGCCUUUGGCAGGGCCGGAGAGGGAGUCGAGUGGAAUCUCCUUCACGCUAUACGGCAAAGAGCUGGGUACGCUUAGACAAAAAAACAAAGCCGGUCACAGCCGGGGACCGGCUCGAUCACUCGCCUUCCGAUGAAGGGGAUAAAAUGGUAGCAUGCGGAAACAGAGAGAGACUUGAUAGCUGUCAUGCACGGCUCGAAGCAUGACAUUCACCUCAAUAAGAUUGGGGAAAAACAGAAAUGCAGGUGCUGCACACGACCUGGCGGGGGGGGGUGAAUACGGUGGCGGUGAUAUUUCACCUCUGGCGCCGACUGAAUCCCAACGCAGGCACACAAAAAAAAAUGUAUGAGCGAGCCCACAACUUUGUGUGCACGACACCCCCCACCCCACCUGUGCAGUCUCGCUGGGCAAAAAGACACGCGUAGAAAGGAAAAAAGAGUCGAUCGCGCCCCCACCUACGACGCCAGUAGGGCGCCCUUUUCAGCUUUAUGUAAACUUCGUCGUACGCCACGUCUGGAUCGCGGUGAGUGCCGCCUUAACUC
rnacentral:misc_RNA from 1 species